rnacentral:tRNA from 1 species
AGCACAUUAGCUCAGCUGGUUAGAGCUGCAGUGACUGUAUCAGGCUGCGUAAGUCAUGGGUUCGAGUCUCAUAUGUGCUA